AUUGCUUUUUGGCCUUUUGGCUAAGAUCAACUGUAGAAUAUAUACUUAUCAGUUUAAAAUUUGAUACAUCCUUGAUGAGAGGACUUUAUUUGAAAGAGGCAUUGCCCAUGGAAGUUGGACAUGGCACUUGCUCCCUCUGCUCCAUAGUUUGUCCCAGUAUUGCAGUGGCUCUGGGAAGAGUGCACAGGUU
ensembl:snRNA U2 U2 spliceosomal RNA